rnacentral:pre_miRNA from 1 species
AAUAAAUAAACUUUUCAGUUUUUAGAUACAAUGUUUGACUUUUCGUUUUAUUCAAAAAUAUUACGAUUAAUAAUUUUAUUUUUAUUAGAUGAUAAAACAUGAAUAAUACUUUAUGUGUGACUAAUGUUUUUAAAAUUUUUUGAAAAUUUUUCAAAUAAGACGGAUGGUUAAACGCUCGACAAAAAAAU